GCUCUUUGUGCUCAAAGAGCACAGCCUAUGCUCUGCAGCGGUAGCGUGGCAGGCAUCCAUUGUCUUUUGCCUGGCCAGACUCAUCAGCAUUGCUCCAAUGGACUACAUCUUGUUCUGCACAGGCAGCUGAAAGGGGCAGUCUGUCACUGUGACUCUGCAUUGUGGCCGUUUGCAGUGUAGUCAUAGUCGCGGCCAUCGUCGAGGCCUCAUCGGCCGCACCUCUUCCGGGGCCGCUCUUGUUUUGCGUCUCGCUGGCGCCCUUUCAGGGUUUCCUUCCCUGCGUCAUCAUGGCCUCGGGUCUUUCUCGCCGGCCUCCUCUGCGUCAGUCUUCUGAGCUUUGCCGGUGCCUUUCCAUCCUGGGCAUUGACGUUUGACUCUUUUCUGGGCUCGUCCAGAGCCUAGGCCCUACGAUGCCACCACUGUGUGGCUCUUCCUGGCCAGUAGUGUCUUAUGUGUGGGAACAGGUUUUUUUUGUGUAGGGCUGUCCUCUGUGUUUGUGUCUGCUGUUUGUUUGUCUGUGUGUUUUUGGGGCUGGAGCUGCCUUGCCUGUGGGUGUUAGCCAUGGUGGUGUGUGGAGUGUGUCCGUGAUGUACUGGAGUGGUGGUGUUGCAGGCAUCGUCUGAGUGUGUGAUUUCUCUCUGUGCUUGCAGGUUUUGCGGGAAGUUGUGGAGAGAAGCAGCUGAGUGCUGAGAAGAGCCUGAGCAGGUCUGCUGUGGGCCUUUCCCAGGCGUGGCUGAGACUUUCAGGUGCCACGGGCUUCCUCCCCAGGCAUUGGAGUUGUUGUGGUGCAGGUGAUGAAGGCAAAUGUGGUGAGCAAAGGAAGAUCAGUGUGGAUGCGGCUGCUGCUGAGGAUGGCUCUUGAGGACUGGUGACCUACAGCACUGCCACAGUUAAGUUGAGGGGCAAAGGGUGUUGGGGCAUCCUCAGUUUCUGUGUAUGUGUGUGUGCGUGCUGAUGUUCAGUGUAGAGUGGAGGGUUGUUCUGGAUGAGUGGUGUGUGUGAGGCAGAGGCAGUGGGGUGUGCAUGGCAGAAAGCGAGGGUGGAUGUCAGGCAGGGCAGCUCCAGCCUGUGUGUGUGUUGUUGUGUAGUCUAUGUGGUGUGUGUUGUAGCUGUGCUAUCUUUUGCUCAGGUCUUGAUGUUGCUCUUGCUCUUUGUGCUCAAGGAGCACAGCCUAUGCUCUGCAGCAGUAGUGUGGCAGGCAUCCAUUGUCUUUUGCCUGGCCAGACUCAUCAGCAUUGCUCCAAUGGACUACGUCUUGUUCUGCAUAGGCAGCUGAAAGGGGUGGUCUGUGACUCUGACUGUGCAUCGUGGCCGUUUGCGGUCCGUCAUAGUCGUGGCCACCGUUGAGGCCUCAUUGGCCACACCUCUUCCGGGGCCGCUCUUGUCUUGCGUCUCGCUGGCGCCCUUUCAGGGUUUCCUUCCCUGCGUCAUCAUGGCCUCGGGUCUUUCUCGCCGGCCUCCUCUGCAUCACUCUUCUGAGCUUUGCCGGUCCCUUUCCAUCCUGGGCAUUGACGUUUGACUCUUUUCUGGGCUCGUCCAGAGCCUCGGCCCUACGACGCCACGACCGUGCGGCUCUUUCUGGCCGGCAGUCUUAUGUGUGGGAAUAGGGUUUUUUUUGUGUAGGGCUGUCCUCUGUGUUUGUGUCUGCUGUUUGUUUGUCUGUGUGUUUUUGGGGCUGGAGCUGCCUUGCCUGUGGGUGUUAGCCAUGGUGGUGUGUGGAGUGUGUCCGUGAUGGACUGGAGUGGUGGUGUUGCGGGCAUCGCCUGAGUGUGUGACUUCUCUCUGUGCUUGCAGGUUUUGCGGGAAGUUGUGGAGAGAAGCAGCUGAGUGCUGAGAAGAGCCUGAGCAGGUGAGUGGGGCAGCCUGUUG